rnacentral:rRNA from 1 species
GGCGAACGGGUGAGUAACACGUGAGCAACCUACCCCUGACACUGGGAUAACAGUUGGAAACAGCUGCUAAUACCGGAUAUGACCCUGGCAGGCAUCUGCCGGGGUGGAAAGCUCCGACGGUCAGGGAUGGGCUCGCGGCCUAUCAGCUUGUUGGUGAGGUAACGGCUCACCAAGGCGACGACGGGUAGCCGGCCUGAGAGGGCGACCGGCCACACUGGGACUGAGAUACGGCCCAGACUCCUACGGGAGGCAGCAGUGGGGAAUAUUGCACAAUGGGCGAAAGCCCGAUGCAGCAACGCCGCGUGCGGGAUGACGGCCUUCGGGUUGUAAACCGCUUUCAGCAGGGACGAAGCUAACGUGACGGUACCUGCAGAAGAAGCACCGGCUAACUACGUGCCAGCAGCCGCGGUGAUACGUAGGGUGCGAGCGUUGUCCGGAAUUAUUGGGCGUAAAGAGCUUGCAGGCGGUUUGUUGCGUCGGAAGUGAAAACUCAGAGCUUAACUCUGAGCCUGCUUUCGAUACGGGCAGACUUGAGGGAUGUAGGGGAGAACGGAAUUCCCGGUGGAGCGGUGGAAUGCGCAGAUAUCAGGAGGAACACCAGUGGCGAAGGCGGUUCUCUGGACAUUUCCUGACGCUGAGAAGCGAAAGCGUGGGGAGCAAACAGGCUUAGAUACCCUGGUAGUCCACGCCGUAAACGGUGGGCACUAGGUGUGGGACCCUUCCACGGGUUCCGUGCCGUAGCUAACGCAUUAAGUGCCCCGCCUGGGGAGUACGGGCCGCAAGGCUAAAACUCAAAGGAAUUUG